GCCUGGCUAGCUCAGUCGGUAGAACAUGAGACUCUUAAUUUCAGGGUCGGGUGUUCGAGCCCCCCGAUGGGCG
rfam:Daphnia pulex DAPPTscaffold_3763_Cont15097, whole genome shotgun sequence.